rnacentral:rRNA from 1 species
UGAACGCUAGCUACAGGCUUAACACAUGCAAGUCAGGGGUAGCAUGGCUUAGCUUGCUAAGGCUGAUGGCGACCGGCGCACGGGUGAGUAACGCGUAUCCAACCUUCCCCAUAGUAGGGGAUAGCCCGGCGAAAGUCGGAUUAAUACCCUAUGUUAUUCGAUGCAGGCAUCUAAGUUGAAUCAAAGGUUUACCGCUAUGGGAUGGGGAUGCGUCUGAUUAGGUUGCAGGCGGGGUAACGGCCCACCUGGCCCACGAUCAGUAGGGGUUCUGAGAGGAAGGUCCCCCACAUUGGAACUGAGACACGGUCCAAACUCCUACGGGAGGCAGCAGUGAGGAAUAUUGGUCAAUGGACGAGAGUCUGAACCAGCCAAGUAGCGUGCAGGAUGACGGCCCUAUGGGUUGUAAACUGCUUUUAUGCGGGGAUAAAGUGAGGGACGUGUCCCUUUUUGUAGGUACCGCAUGAAUAAGGACCGGCUAAUUCCGUGCCAGCAGCGGC